rnacentral:rRNA from 1 species
CUAACACAUGCAAGUCGAGCGGUAGAGAAGGAGCUUGCUUCUUCUUGAGAGCGGCGCAAGGGUGAGUAAUGCCUAGGAAUCUGCCUGGUAGUGGGGGACAACGUUUCGAAAGGAACGCUAAUACCGCAUACGUCCUACGGGAGAAAGUGGGGGAUCUUCGGACCUCACGCUAUCAGAUGAGCCUAGGUCGGAUUAGCUUGUAGGUGAGGUAAUGGCUCACCUAGGCAACGAUCCGUAACUGGUCUGAGAGGAUGAUCAGUCACACUGGAACUGAGACACGGUCCAGACUCCUACGGGAGGCAGCAGUGGGGAAUAUUGGACAAUGGGCGAAAGCCUGAUCCAGCCAUGCCGCGUGUGUGAAGAAGGUCUUCGGAUUGUAAAGCACUUUAAGUUGGGAGGAAGGGUUGUAGCUUAAUACGCUGCAACCUUGACGUUACCAACAGAAUAAGCACCGGCUAACUCUGUGCCAGCAGCCGCGGUAAUACAGAGGGUGCAAGCGUUAAUCGGAAUUACUGGGCGUAAAGCGCGCGUAGGCGGCUUGAUAAGAUGGGUGUGAAAUCCCCGGGCUUAACCUGGGAACUGCAUCCAUAACUGUCUGGCUAGAGUACAGUAGAGGGUGGUGGAAUUUCCUGUGUAGCGGUGAAAUGCGUAGAUAUAGGAAGGAACACCAGUGGCGAAGGCGACCACCUGGACUGAUACUGACGCUGAGGUGCGAAAGCGUGGGGAGCAAACAGGAUUA